rnacentral:rRNA from 1 species
GACGAACCGUGCGAACGUUGUUCGGAAUCACUGGGCUUAAAGGGCGCGUAGGCGGGCUGACAAGUCUGGGGUGAAAUGCCGCGGCUCAACCGUGGAACUGCCUUAGAUACUGUCGGCCUCGAGGAAGGUAGGGGCAUGCGGAACUGUAGGUGGAGCGGUGAAAUGCGUUGAUAUCUACAGGAACUCCGGUGGCGAAAGCGGCGUGCUGGACCUUUUCUGACGCUGAGUGAGCGAAAGCCAGGGGAGCAAACGGG